rnacentral:rRNA from 1 species
CCUACGGGUGGCAGCAGUGAGGAAUAUUGGUCAAUGGGCGCGAGCCUGAACCAGCCAAGUCGCGUGAGGGAUGAAGGUUCUAUGGAUCGUAAACCUCUUUUAUCAGGGAAUAAAGUGUGGGACGUGUCCUAUUUUGUAUGUACCUUAUGAAUAAGGAUCGGCUAACUCCGUGCCAGCAGCCGCGGUAAUACGGAGGAUCCGAGCGUUAUCCGGAUUUAUUGGGUUUAAAGGGUGCGUAGGCGGCCUUUUAAGUCAGCGGGGAAAGUCUGUGGCUCAACCAUAGAAUUGCCGGUGAAACUGGGGGGCUUGAGAAUGUGUGAGGCAGGCGGAAUGCGUGGUGUAGCGGGGAAAUGCUUAGAUAUCGCGCAGAACCCCGAUUGCGAAGGCAGCCUGCCAAGCCAGGACUGACGCUGAUGCACGAAAGCGUGGGGAUCAAACAGGAUUAGAUACCCGAGUAGUC